CUGGAACUGACCAACAAGAUGAUGUCCCUGCUGACUGGAGAGGUAGAGCUGCACACGUACAGAACGGACGAGCCGACAAA